GACGAACGCUGGCGGCGUGCUUAACACAUGCAAGUCGAACGGAAAGGCCCUGCUUUUGUGGGGUGCUCGAGUGGCGAACGGGUGAGUAACACGUGAGUAACCUGCCCUUGACUUUGGGAUAACUUCAGGAAACUGGGGCUAAUACCGGAUCGGAGCUCCUGCUGCAUGGUGGGGGUUGGAAAGUUUCGGCGGUUGGGGAUGGACUCGCGGCUUAUCAGCUUGUUGGUGGGGGAGUGGCUUACCAAGGCUUUGACGGUUAGCCGGCCGGAGAGGGUGACCGGCCACAUUGGGACUGAGAUACGGCCCAGACGCCUAUGGGAGGCAGCAGUGGGGAAUAUUGCACAAUGGGCGGAAGCCUGAUGCAGCAACGCCGCGUGCGGGAUGACGGCCUUCGGGUUGUAAACCGCUUUCGCCUGUGACGAAGCGUGAGUGACGGUAAUGGGUAAAGAAGCACCGGCUAACUACGUG
rnacentral:rRNA from 1 species